GAUGAACGCUGGCGGCGUGCUUAACACAUGCAAGUCGAACGAAGCACUUUAUUUGAUUUCCUUCGGGACUGAUUAUUUUGUGACUGAGUGGCGGACGGGUGAGUAACGCGUGGGUAACCUGCCUUGUACAGGGGGAUAACAGUUGGAAACGGCUGCUAAUACCGCAUAAGCGCACAGCAUCGCAUGAUGCAGUGUGAAAAACUCCGGUGGUAUAAGAUGGACCCGCGUUGGAUUAGCUAGUUGGUGAGGUAACGGCCCACCAAGGCGACGAUCCAUAGCCGACCUGGGAGGGUGACCGGCCACAUUGAGACUGAGACACGGCCCAAACUCCUACGGGAGGCAGCAGUGGGGAAUAUUGCACAAUGGGCGAAAGCCUGAUGCAGCGACGCCGCGUGAGCGAAGAAGUAUUUCGGUAUGUAAAGCUCUAUCAGCAGGGAAGAUAAUGACGGUACCUGACUAAGAAGCACCGGCUAAAUACGUG
rnacentral:rRNA from 1 species